CGCCAGGCAUCAACUUAAGAGAAUCUUGUGAGAAAGAAGUAGAGAAAAAAAGACAGAGAAAGAUGGAGAAAGAGGUCCUGGUUCCCAUCCUGACCUGCUCUGACCCAAAGCCUGCAGAGGUGCUCAAUCAGUGAAGGACUGUGGCAGUAGGCUCAGUGAGAG